UACGUAGGGGGCUAGCGUUGUCCGGAAUCAUUGGGCGUAAAGAGCGCGUAGGCGGCCAGAUAAGUCCGGUGUGAAAGUCAAAGGCUCAACCUUUGAAUGCCGCUGGAAACUGUCUGGCUAGAGUCCGGGAGGGGCGAGUGGAAUUCCUGGUGUAGCGGUGAAAUGCGCAGAUAUCAGGAGGAACACCAAUGGCGAAGGCAGCUCGCUGGAACGGUACUGACGCUGAGGCACGAAAGCCAGGGGAGCAAACGGG
rnacentral:rRNA from 1 species